rnacentral:lncRNA from 1 species
CUGGAAACCUGGAGGGAAGGCCUAUUCAAAGAGUGGUUCUCCCUCCCAGAACUUGUGCAACAACAAAGGUCUUCAGCUGUGCUUACUGCCCCUGAGUCCCAGAGUUCCUGCAUCUCCUUCUCUUCCUGCCUUGGCUCCUGUUCUUGUCUCUGCUUGCCUCCUGCAUCUUGGCGCCUUGUUCUGGCUCCAUUCUCCCAGCCCAUUGGUGCUCCUGCCUCCACUUGGUCAUGACCAACUGAUCAGUGAGUGCCUUUGGACUUGAUACUCUGUGUGGGGGAGUGGUCCUGCCCCUGGCGAGAUACUGCCUGGGAUUUCUUGGACUGUGACAUCCUCACUGGAAAAAUAGUUCAGUAUGAUGAUUCAUUAGGAUAAAUUUAUGUCUUUCACCAUGUUAAUAAAGAUCCAGGAGCCAAGUCAGAAAAGAAGUUGGCAACCAUAUGGGGAGAACGAACACCAUCUGCAAGCUACAACAAUAUUGAUCACUCUGAGCCUGAUUGCUUGGAAGCAGAGAAAUAUCGAUCCAAGAUCUU